rnacentral:rRNA from 1 species
GAAGCGAACCCGCGAGGAGGAGCGAAACCCAAAAAAGACAGUCUCAGUUCGGAUUGAAGGCUGAAAUUCGCCUUCAUGAAGCCGGAAUUGCUAGUAAUGGCAGGUCAGCAUACUGCCGUGAAUACGUUCCCGGGCCUUGUACACACCGCCCGUCACACCAUGAGAGUUGGGAAUACCCGAAGCCUGUGAGCUAACUGUAAAGAGGCAGCAGUCGAAGGUAGAAUCAAUGAUUGGGGUGAAGUCGUAACAAGGUAGC